rnacentral:lncRNA from 1 species
CUGUUGGAUCGUGAUCCGAGGCUAUAAGGGGGGGUAAUAGCCUCUUUUCGAUUUAAACAGGUUGAUUGCGGAAUUACCUGUAAAUGCUUAAUAAACAAAUAGUUGAACAGUAAUGAUAUAAGGAUAUUAUGAUUUUGAUUGAUAUAAUAAUGUAAGUAUUACUCUUCGAAGCUUACUACAGUAUAUGAAUACUGAGUCAACUUGCUUGAUAGUGUUUUACACACAACUAUAGUAUAUGAAUACUAAGUUAUAUUGAAAACACAAAUUGUAUUGUAGAGUAAAUGACCAGAUAAC